rnacentral:lncRNA from 1 species
GGUCUUGAACCUGUGAGGCACAUUGCGAAGAUACCUAAUCGUUCCAGUUCCUGUAGUCUUUCUACGGAUUGCCUUCACACUCCAGUUGUAGGUCCUCUUGCGAGCGGCAGGGUAAGCACAGGUGGAGCUACAGCUCUUCUGGAUGUGGAAGCUGCGACGGCCACAUCUCACACAGAGAGUGUGACUCUUGUUCCUCCUCUUUCCGAAACUCCAUGUUCCCUUCGUCAUUUAAGCGGAUGCGCGUUAACAAAACUUUAACAAAAAUAUAAGGUAUAAUAUACUGCAAUCUAAAUCAGAGUUGUCAGCAAAAUCUAACACUUUUGAGAAAAAUGUAUAAAAGAAAAAUAAUACACAGGGGAGGGUGUCAAUAAACCGUAGGUAUGGCGACGGUGACAUAAACAAAACCGGUCUCUUCUGACCAACUAUCAUAUGUUGUGAGUACUGUCAAAAGAAUAUGUUCCCAAAAUUCUGUUUUUUUUUUGUGUUCCAAGAAAGAGAAUUAUGAGUAAUGGCUCUAAUAGCAAACCUCUGGACCAUCUGGAGUAUAAUAAGUUUGUUUAGACCAAGCUGUGGAUGUUUUCCAGCGAAUGCGGCCCCAUCUACCAAUUACAUUUUUUUUUGUGAAUCAGAAACAUUUCAUUAGAUUAGAUCAUAAUAAUUUAGGCACGGCAAACAAAACGUUAGGCUGAGGGUGGACUUUUCUGAAGAAUAAAUAAUAAGAAAUAAGAACCAAUAAAAAGCUUGGUCAUAGUAUUGGACGACUUGAUGCUGGGGAAGUUGCAUAGUUGAAUUUUAGAUCAAAUCAACAUAGGAGAGUCGGACAGUGACACCUGUUCGAAGCCAUAAGCUCGCCACCUUGUGAUUAAUCCUAACAAAUCUGAAAAGAGAAGGGAAGCUAUUUUUUUCCAUAUCACCGGAGUUACCUUAGCUAUAAGAAGAAGCAGAUGACUUUGGCGGUGGUGCUACAUCGACCGCUUUCAAGUAAGCUAGGAAGACAGAUGAGUUCGACAUUCUCCUAAAGGAAAGUUGUCUGAGUUGUAAUGGAUGAAAGGAUGAUGCUAAGGGAAUGAAGACUAACCUUUUUAUACACGGAGAAUCACCGACUGAAAGAGCAGGCAGGUGCAUUGAAUGAUGAAUCGUGGUAAGAGUGAGAUUUAGGAGUUAAGAUGGUCGUUAAUGACAACGACUAAAAGCAUCUCAGUCAUCCCGUAACGAUUCGAAUUCCCAAUACCACAAAAUAAAUACAGUCCAAAGGACAUAAACAACAAAUCGCUCAAGAGAUUUUUCGUAAGAAGUCGUCUCCCAUAACCUUCCAGAAUCUCCAUGGUCGUUUAUGAAAUCAGAACCUGAAGAACACGAAGAACCCUACAAAGCUAUGAAGCAAGUUGUCAAAGACGAAGAGGUGUUUAUUAGAUUUUAGAUAAUAGGUUCGACCAGUCGUUAUUAAAGAUUGGUGAGCCCAUUUAUAAGACUUGUAAAGCCCACAUAUAAAAGCCUAACACACUCGGGAAUUAAUGAAACGGAGCGUCUUGCUCGGAUAGACAGGUGUCGACUCCACAGCUUCCGAAUUGAUGACCUGGAAUCCGACGUGAACCCCCUAGGAGAGAAGGAAACCCUUCUUUAUAUAUAUAUAGAUAGAUAGAUAGAUAACUCCAUGCAUGCAACAACGAGAGAGAGAGAGAGAGAUUGAGAGAAAUAUAACUACUGCGUGGUAUAUCAAAUUUGUCAUUUAUUUUCAUUUUUCUUUAGUUUCAACAUCUUACAAGGGCUCCUUUUACAUUUUGGAGCCACAAGUUACAGUAUCUUUGGCAAUUGACACGAAAAUAAAAUUAAAAGAAAACACACACACAUACAAAGAAGCGAUCCUUUUGGUGCCUAUUUACGGAUAAAAACCUUUCUUGAGUAAUAAAUUCACAAGAAAAUAACCUAUCUCUUUUUUUUUUUUACGAAUAAAGAGUUAAACCCAAAUAUAUUAAAGACACAGACCUAACUCCCGGGUAGGAGGUGAAAAUAACCUAUUUCUAUAGUAAAAUGUGAAUAAGAAGUUGUCCUUAUUUUAUAUGCAUCCGUCAGAGUUGCGGUUGGACCAAAAUAGUAUGUUUAAUGUGUAACUUAUGUUCACCCAUAUUGGUAUUCUCCUCAUUCCAUACUCCCCACUACACCAAGAUGCUUGCAAGCCUCAAUAUCGACUUGAACGGUGCGUUUUGACCCCCUGCCGUGACAUGAACCUUCUCAAACGCUACCAACUGCUUGUUCACACCCAAUCCUUUUAUCCCGUUCUCCGGCGGCUCGGCAAAGGCGAACACCGUGUGAGUUUCAUCAAAUUCACCGGUGUUUGACACUCAACGUGGAGAUGCAUUUUUGGAAACGUUUCACAGUUGGCAUGAGACACUUUGAUAAUUGAGCUAGUGGGUUUUGAGCCAAACUGUGAGUGAAGGUAGUGUAACUUAAACCGAACCCAAAUGGAAACACCACUGGACCUUUGUAGAAACUGUAAGUCCUUCCUGGGUAGUUUCCAGAUGCUCUCAUUGUCAUUAUUGUGAUUGGAAGUUCUGUCACGUAGUCUUGUGGAUACCAUGUCAAUGGUAGUUUACCUCCUAUCAUAUUUGAUCUGAUUAUGUAUAUUAUGUUUUUAGUUUCUUAUAGAUUUUGUUUUUAAUUUCUUAUACACUUUUUUUGGGGUAAAAUUCUUAUACACUUUCUUUCUUAUAUACUUUGUUUUCUCUCAUUUGUAUGAUUCUCUUGCCUUUAGAUAAUUUUGUAAAAAUCAUGAUGUUAUUAGAUUGUAAUUUAGAUAAAUCUCAUGUUUAUAAUCUUUACUAUUAUCACAAUUCACAGAUUCUUAAUUCAAUUUGACUAAAUGCACCAAUAUUAGCUUUAACAUCUUCUGAUCUGUUUGGCUAUACUCUGGAUUUAUUUUGUUCCAUUCACAUUCAUUUUUGAUUAAGUUAAUGAUCCAUUUCAACAAGUAUUUGACUAUUUGUGAACAAUCAUGGCAUCUAAGCCGAAACAAACUCUAACUAACACUACAAGAAAACAGCGGUAUUCCGACGGACAUUCCGACGGAAAAUGAAAUCCUCGGAAUAUCCCGAGGAAUUUCCGAGGAAAUUCCGAGGAAGCACAAAAUUGGGUUUCCUCGGAAUUUCCUCGGAAUAUACCGACGGAAUUCCGAGGAAAUAUCAGUCCGUCGGAAUAUUCCGAGGAAAUUCCGAGGAAAAAUGUGUUCCUCGGAAAAAACCGAUGAAUUCCGAGGAAAUAUUAUAGCCGUUGGNNNNNNNNNNNNNNNNNNNNNNNNNNNNNNUAGGCCUGGGCAUUCGGGGUCCCAAUCGGGUUUCGGUUUUAUCCAAUCGGGUUUCGGUUUUUCGAGUUUAUCAAAAUCAGCCCCAUUCGGAUUAUAUGAAAGUUCGGUUCGGGACCGGUUCGGAUUCUAUCGGGUUCGGGUCGGGGUUAGUAAAUCUUCAAAGAACCGACACAAUCCAAUAUACUUUCGGGUUCGGGUCCCAAUCGGUUUUUCGGUUUAAAAGUACCUGAUUUUUACCUAUUUUAUAACCAAAACAUGAGUAAAAUCACUUCUUCAGUUUUAAAAUACUUGAUUCGUACUUAUUUUGUAACCAAAACUUAAGUAAAAUCGAUUCAAAAAUAAGGAACAUCAACCAUGAUCAUUCAAAAUCAAACGAAAAGUAAACGUAUUUACUGAUAAAAAGAAAACCAAAUAAAUAAAAUCAUAAAACGAAAACCAAGUUGAGAAACAUUGUUUAACGAAAACAAAAUCUAAAUCUAAAUACUUUAAAAUUUAACGGCCAUCUUCAACCAUCAACCUUAAUGUAACAAAACCACCAACAUUUAUGUAAUAGAACCACCAACCUUCAUGUAAUAGAUAAGUAUUUUAGAUGUCCAAUAUUUCUUAGUGUAUUUUGGAUACAUAUUAGGAAUUGAGAUCAUGUUUGGUACAAGAUCUUUUCGAGGUUUUGAAUGUUUCGGGUUCUAUCGGAUAUCCAUUUAGAUUCGGGUUCGGUUCGGAUAAUACCCAUAACCCGAAAUACCACAAAACAAGAUCCAUUCGGUAUUUACGUCGGGUUCGGAUCGGUUCGGAUUCAUUUUUAUCGGAUCGGAUUCGGUUCGGGUUAUCGGGUUCGGUUUAUUUGCCCAGCCCUAGGUGGAGCAACAGCUCUUCUGGAUGUGGAAGCUGCGACGGCCACAUCUCACACAGAGAGUGUGACUCUUGUUCCUCCUCUUUCCGAAACUCCAUGUUCCCUUCGUCAUUUAAGCGGAUGCGCGUUAACAAAACUUUAACAAAAAUAUAAGGUAUAAUAUACUGCAAUCUAAAUCAGAGUUGUCAGCAAAAUCUAACACUUUUGAGAAAAAUGUAUAAAAGAAAAAUAAUACACAGGGGAGGGUGUCAAUAAACCGUAGGUAUGGCGACGGUGACAUAAACAAAACCGGUCU